UAAUAAAAAAAAAGAUUUGCAUAUAUAUUAUACAUAUGUAUAUAUAUAUAUAUAUAUAUAUAUAUAUAUAUAUACAUGUGUGUGUGUGUGUGUUUUUCUGCACCCCUAGUAAACAUGAUUCAUGGGUGUGAGUUAGUUUUUGCCACAUCUCUCACUUCCAGUGUGAGUGACAAAACCGCUACUGACCUGAUCAGACCUGAUGAGUCCCAAAGAGAUAAUACAGUAUUAUCUGCUGACAGGUGCUACCUAGUGGUUGCAGCGAGUCCUGCAUAGUCCCACUCCUCAACGCUUCAGUCACACACAAGAUUUUCACAGUGAUGAGGCCAAAAAUAACACCCUUCCCCAACUGUACGCUUUUUUCGCAUGACUUGAGACUGAACAGGAAGUCAGCUGGUGUCGGACCUCUUCUACGUUGGUGCUUCCUUACUUUUGCUCUGUUUUUUUCCCUCCCCUACCUCACUUUUUCACCUCACUCCCACCCCUCUGCACGCCGCAUCUUCCAUCGUGUCGCGUGUGGACUCGCCGCGUCGUGUUCGAGGACCAGACCGCUUGGGUUCCGCACGGAGCCACGGCAACGUACAAACCGGGACAAAAAUGCUGGCCCACUACCUCCCGUGGAAUCUGGUUGGGAUGAAGGUGGAAUUGCUAUGUGUCAGGCGAUGUAUUAUUCACAGGCUCUGUGCUCCAGCUGUCACUCACCUCCUUAUCCCACACACACAUGAACUCUAUCUGGGACCCCCUCACUCCCCACUUCACACACACGCAUAGAAAGUCACAUCUCCAUCAACAUUCAAGCCUUUCCACUCAUUGCCCAGCAUGAUUUAUUAUAGAUCAUGCUAGCACAGACCCUCUAGACCAGGGCGGCCCAAAGUCCGGCCCGUGGGCCAUUUGUGGCCCGCAGCCCCAAGCAUAAACAUGUCAGAAAAAAAGCGGACGUUUUGAUACUAAUAACUUGGGAUAAAUGGCGAUAAAACGUCUUGGGUUAGUAUUACAAUGCAAAAAAAUAAAAAAUAAAUUAGGGGAAAAAAAUACUUAAAACUAGUGAAAUGAUCAGUAAUUUUCCAUCCUCAAUUAGCAUUUGUAUAUCUGGAAAUAAGCAGGUCUUUUAAGGUAGAAACAAGUAUUUUAUUCUGAAAACAACUCUUUAAGUAGCAGUAGAGUAGAAAAAGAAGUUGCCUCUAUAUGGAAGCUGUUACCAUAUAUAUCUGAUUAAUGACGCCAGAAGACUUACAAAGUAAAUAGAUGAUUAAAAUGAUAUAAAUCACACGGAGAUUCCGGAGCCAUUUUGAGGGAUAAUGAGGAAGCCGGUCACGAGUGAUGUAGAGGAGGAACCACAGAUCCCUUCCCCUUCUGCUAAUCAAGCAGACUUUGUGAGAGCCAACAAUGAUUACUUCAGGACGAAUUAUAAUCCCAGCCCUUAUAUUUUUGAGCCUGAACGCGUUUUAAUUUAGAACGAUAAUAUUAACCAUCUAGAGUUUUGCCGCAGUUUUUCAUUAACAGCGUUUAUCGUUACAUAUGUACCAGUACAAAUAUACAUAACUCUUUUAACUAAGCUCCAUUUUCAAAACGUUAAUGUGUUCUGUGUUGGGUGUUAGCAUUUAAGAAAGCUAGCGAGCCAUUAGCAGGCUAGCUUGCUGUACUAGUAAAUGAACAGUAUCUCCGGUCUGUGAGUCUUAUCAAAGUGCAACCUUAUACUUUUGAGCCCGAACACAAGGAGGAUGACAAUACAUUUUAGAAAGCAGUUUAGAAAAGCUCCUUCCGGUUGCAUGGAGAUGACCUAAAAACAUAUGUUUUCAAAUUAAAAAUUGUAUUUAUAUAUAUAUAUAUAUAUAUAUAUAUUUUUUUUUUUAAUCCAUUUUGUGAAAAUUAUGAAUCAAUUUAGAAUCAGGAUGACUAAGGAUCAGGAUUUGGAUGUGAAUCGAUUUUUUUGUGCACCCCUAUUUUUUGACAGCGUACAAACAUCUGACUUUUCCGAACAUAAGAGAAAAAUCAGGCCAAGUCUACUUUUAUGAAGGAUUAAAUUGUACACAUGUAUGUAAGAAUAAUAGGUUAACAAUCCAAAAACUAUGACAGUGUCAGGUUGCAGGACUCAAAUAACCAGACAGCACCUGAACGCAUCAUACAAGAGUUUCUAUACAUUAAUUCAUUUUGCAACAUGAAAGAUACGUUUGUCAAAAAAACAAAAAACAAUGUUCUUCUUUUCCAGUGUUGAAAAUCAAUAACUAGAUGUAAAAAAAAAAAAACUGAAGUUUUGUAUCCUCUGUCAGAAAGAUUAACUUGUUUAUAUAAACACACCACUUUCGUUAUUUUUACCAAUGAUUUUAACUCUUGUUAUAUGAAUUAUAAAAUACAACUUUAAAAUGGUUAUUGCUCUUUUACACUGAAAGAAAAGAAUGUUUGUUAAUUCUCUAUUUUUCAAUUUCCAUUUAUUGAAUUGAAGUCAAUGACCAAAUCCUACACUGAGCUUAGAGGAAAUAUGUUUAUGACAAAUAUGAGUAGCUUGUGAGACCCAAAUGUCAAAACCCUCAUAUGUUAGGGUUGGAACGGUUCACGGAACAAACCAACCAUUCAGAGCUCACGUGUUGUUGUUUUUCUGUGUCACUCAUUAGUUUGGCGUGUAGAGCCCUAAAAUAUCGUCCAAUGACAUUAUACUAUAGUAUCGUACUGUGAUUUUCGCUUAUAUCCUCCAAUGAUUUUGUCCUAUGAUAUCAUACUAUUAUAUCGUCCUAAAUUAUUCUAUGCUUUCAUUCUAUAUCAGUGUAUAGCGUACUAUGAUUUUGUCCUAUGAUAUCGCCUUAUGAUAUUGUCCUAUUUGUCCUAUGAUUUUGUACUAUGAUAUUGUCCUAUAAUUGCAUACUAUUAUAUCGUACUAGGAUUUUGUCCUAUGAUGCCGUAUUUUAUCGUACUAUAUUAUUCUAAGAUUUCGUCCUAUAUCAGUGUAUAUCAUACUGUGAUUUCGUACUAUACGUCCUACAAUAUCAUCCUAUAUACUGUAGUACUAUAUCGUCCGAUGAUUUUGUCCUAUAGUAUUUUCCUAUGAUAUCGUCCAAUGAUUUUGUCAUAUGAUACCGUACUAUGGCAUCGUACUAUGAUUUUGUCCUAUAUCGAAAUGUUAUACCGUCCUAUGAUAUUGUCCUAAAAUUUCGUCCUAUGAUAUCGUAAUAUAAUUUUGUCCUAUAUCGGCCUAUGAUUUAGACCUGAUAUCGUCAAAUGAUUUUUUCCCCCUAUGAGACCGUCUUAUGAUUUUGUCCUAUAUCGUCCAAUGAUUUGUAAUAUAAUAUCGUCCUAGAUUGUCCUAUGAGAUCACGCUAUAUUGUCCUAUGAUUUUAUACUCUGAUAUCGUCUUGUGAUAUCGUAGUAUAAUUUUGUGCUGAUAUCGUCCUACAUUGUGCUAUGAUUUCAUAAUAUAUCAUCCCAUGAUAUUGUCCUACAAUUUUAUCCUAUAUCGUACUGUGAUUUCAUCCUAUGAUAUACUAUAUCUUACCAUGAUUUUGUCCUAUGAUUUCAUACUCUGAUACAUCCAAUGAUUUCGUCCUGAUUUUGUUCCGAUAUAUAUUGCGCUACAAUUUUGUACUAUAUCGUCUCAUGACAUGAUAUCGGAGUAUAUCGUCCUAUGAUAUAGGAGUGUGAUAUUGUCCUAUGAUAUAGUCCUAUGGUAUUGACCUAUGAUAUCGUCCUACGAUAUGGUCUUAUAAUAGGUGACGUAAUGAAAGUGGGCGAUAUAAAUUAAAUCUACAAUUCCAAAGAAAAUAAAUGGAAGUCAUGUGAUUAAAUUGCUGUAAUGAUGCGUAGAAGGAAUGUUGGUGUGCACAUGUGCUCUCUCACAGACUACGUAGAUAUGUAAAUCAUGUAUUCACGGCCACACACCAGCGUGCCAAACUUCUACAAAACUUGUCUUACUCCCAACUUCUUUGUGUCAGCUGAUGUGCGUUCUUACUCAUUUUAGGACCACUCGUGAUCCAAAAGCACAGGAAAAUACCAUGCUAAUGCGAGUGCUAGCCAGCGGCAACCAGGGAUUAUUGCUACACUGUUUCGCUACAUGAAAAUACUUCCACUUGAAAUAGCAAGCAAAGAUGUAUCGUAUCGACACAUGUAAGGACUUCUGCAUUGACGUCAAGCGUCAGUUAAGUAGGUGCGUUUAUCAAUCACCGUUUUACCAUCUUUUUCAUUUAAUACUAACCGCAAUUUGUCAUUAACAAUAUGAAAGUGUUAUAUAACAAUUAUUGUGACCAAAAUGAUCACCAUUAUUAUUAGUACUAAUACACUAAGUACUCAGAAAAAAAAUUAAUUGUAAUGUUUUUUUAAGAGUUGCGUUGAGCAUGCUAGCUUGCGUUGCCAGUAAAUGAACAGUAUCUCUGCUGUGUGAGUUUAUCAAAGUGGGUUUAUCAAUCACGGUUUAACCAUCAUUUUCAUUUAGAACGAUAAUACUAACCGUCUGGGGUUUUGCCGCGGUUUAACAGCAUUUUACCGUUAAAUAGAUAUCAGAACUCUUUUAACUAAGUUCUAUUUUCAAAAUGUUAAUGUGUCUUGUAUUGGUGUUAACAUAUAAGUCAGCGAGCGAGCCAUUAGCAUGCUAGCUUGCGUUGCCAGUAAAUGAACAGUAUCUCAGCUGUGUGACUUUAUCAAUCACUGUUUUACGAUCAUUUUCAUUUAGAGUAAUAACAGUAACCGUCGAGAGUUUGUCAUGAAUAGCGUUUAUCUUUCUAUACAUACCAGAAAAAACACACAGAACUCUUUCAACUAAGUUUAAUUUUCAAAAUGUUAAUGUGUCCUCUGUUGGUGUUAACAUUUGUAUCGGUGUUAACAUAUAAGCAAGCGAGCGAGCCAUUAGCAUGCUAGCUUGCGUUGCCCGUAAAUGAACAGUAUCUCUGCUGUGUGAGUUUAUCAAAGUGGGUUUAUCAAUCACGGUUUUACCAUCAUUUUCAUUUAGAACAAUAAUACUAACCCUCUGGGGUUUUGCCGCGGUUUAAUAGCAUUUUAUCGUUACGUAGAUAUCAGAACUCUUUUAACUAAGUUCAUUUUUCAAAAUGUUAAUGUGUCUUGUAUUGGUGUUAACAUAUGAGCAAGCGAGCGAGCCAUUAGCAUGCUAGCUUGCUUUGCCAGUAAAUGAACAGUAUCUCUGCUUUGUGAGUUUAUCAAUCACUGUUUUACGAUCAUUUUCAUUUACACUAAUAACAGUAACCGUCGAGAGUUUGUCAUGAAUAGCGUUUAUCUUUCUAUACAUACCAAAACAAACACACAGAACUCUUUCAACUAAGUUUUAUUUUCAAAACGUUAAUGUGUUCUUUGUUGGUGUUAACAUUUAAGCUAGCUAGCGAGUAAUUAGCGUGCUGGCUUACUUUGGCAGUAAAUGAACAGUAUCUCUGGUCUGUGAGUUUAUCAAAGUGCGUUUAUCAAUCACAGUUUUACGAUCAUUUUAAUUUAGAACGAUAAUACUAACCCUACGAACUUUUGCCGCAUAUUUUUAUUAUUAGCGUUUAUCUUUACAUAGAUAGCAGGACAAACACACAGAACUCUUUUAACUAAGUUCUAUUUUCAAAACGUUAAUGUGUCUUGUUUCGGUGUUAACAUUUAGGCUUGCUAGCGAGCCAUUAGUGUGCUAGCUUGCUUCGCCAGUAAAUGAACAGUAUCUCUGCUCUGUGAAUUUAUCAAUCACGGUUUUACAUCAUUUUCAUUUAGAAUGAUAACACUAACUGUCUGGUAUUUUGCCACGGUUUUUCAUUAAUAGCGUUUAUCCUUACAUAAAUACCAGAACUAACACAAAGAACUCAAAAUUUUAACUAAGUUUUAUUUUUAAAACGUUAAUAUGUCUUGUAUUGGUGUUAGCAUUUAAGCUAGCUAGCGAGCUUGCUUCGCCAGUAAAUGAACAGUAUCUCUGCUCUCUGAGUUUAUCAAUCACGGUUUUAUGAUAAUUUUCUUUUCAAAUGAUAACACUAACCGUUGGGAGUUUUGCCACGGUUUGUCAUUAAUAGCGUUUAUCGUUCUAUACAUACUACAACAAACACACAGAACUCUUUCAACUAAGUUUUAUUUUCAAAACGUUAUUGUGUCCUCUGUUGGUGUUAGCAUUUAAGCUAGCUAGCAAGCCAUUAGCGUGUUGGCUUACUUCGCCAGUAAAUGAACAGUAUCUCUGGUCUGUGAGUUUAUCAAAGUGCGUUUAUCAAUCACAGUUUUACAAUAAUUUUAAUAUAGAACGAUAAUACUAACCGUCUGGACUUUUGCCGCGGUUUGUCAUUAAUAGCGUUUAUCGUUACAUAGAUAGCAGGACAAACACACAGAACUCUUUUAACUAAGUUCUAUUUUCAAAACGUUAAUGUGUCUUGUUUCAGUGUUAACAUUUAAGCUAGCUAUCGAGCCAUUAGCAUGUCAGCUUGCGUCGCCAGUAAAUGGACGAUAUCUUUGCUCUGUGAGUUUAUUAAUCACGGUUUUACGAUUAUUUUAAUUUAGAGUGAUAAUACUAACCCUCUGGACUUUUUCCGCGGUUUGUCAUUAAUAGCGUUUAUCGUUACAUAGAUACCAGAACUAACACGCAGAACUCUUUUAACUAAGUUCUAUUUUCAAAAUGUUAAUAUAUAUUGUAUUGUAAAGGUUUUUGUGUUUUUUUAAGAGUUGCAUUGAGCCUGCUAGCUUGCUUCGCCAGUAAAUGAACAGUAAUCUCUGCUCUCUGAGUUUAUCAAAGUGCAUUUAUCAAUCACGAUUUUACCAUCAUUUUAAUUUAGAACGAUAAUACUAACCGUCUGGAGUUUUGCCGUGGUUUGUCAUUAAUGCCGUUUAUCGUUACAUACGUACCAGAACAUAUACACAGAACUCGUUUUACUAAGUUCUAUUUUCAAAACCUUAAUGUGUUUUGUUUUGGUGUUAGCAUUUAAGCUAGCUAUCGAUUAGCCCGCUAUCUUAUUUUCUAAGAAAUUAGCAGCAUCACCGUGAGUUCAUCAAAGUUUGGUAAUCAAUCACGGAAUUUAAAACAAUGAUACUAUUUUUAGCGAGUUUUACUGCUGUUUGUCAUGAAUACUGUUUAUAGUUAAAUACCUCUUUAGAGCUUUACGAGCCAAUUUAAGUUUUAUUUUUGUAAGAACCAUAAAGGUGGAUAAUUGGGAUGUAUGGGAUUCCAGGGUAUUAAAAAGAACAACGAUGUGCACACAAGCGAAGUAAAAACCGUAACAAGAUCCGAACCGUUCCACCCCUAGCCUAUACCUUCCAUAAUAACAGACCUAAUAUAAGGCUUGCAAGUGUGAUGUGGAAACGCAAUGCAUUGUGGGUCUUGCUGGACUCUCAAUGGCCUAUUUACAUGGAUUGAUACAAGACUGUGUGCUUUUCUUUGGCGAGUUCAAAACACAUGGCGAGCGUGCGCCAUCUUUACCUGGCACAGUGGUGGUCAGGGUCAUGGCAGGAAUUAAAAAGAUUUGGUAAGGUUUUGAUCAUUUCCAGCGUGAAAGUAAAGCCGAAGGAAGUAAAGUCAUGUAGCUAAUAAAGCGACUAGCCUGGAUUGCAGCACACACGACUUUUAACGCCAUCACCUGGUACAUGUUGCUGUGUGCACACCGCCAAGUUGGAAUGUUCUAGUCCAGGGGUCACCGCGGGCACCAGGUAGACCCGUAAGGACCAGAUGAGUAGCCCGCUGGCCUGUUCUAAAAAUAGCUCAAAUAGCAGCGCUUACAAAAUUUUUAAUUCUAAGAGAGACAAAACUCAAAUAGAAUUUGAAAAUCUAAGAAAAAAUGUUAAAGACUUGGUCUUCACUUGUAUAAAUAAAUUCAUUUAUUUUUUUUUACUUUGCUUCUUAUAACUUUCAGAAAGACAAUUUUAGAGAAAAAAUACAACCUUAAAAAUGAUUUUAGGAUUUUUAAACACAUAUACCUUUUUACCUUUUAAAUUCCUUCCUCUCUUUUCCUGACAAUUUAAAUCAGUGUUCAAGUAUUUAGUUUUUAUUGUAAAGAAUAAUAAAUACAUUUUAAUUCAAUUCUUCAUUUUAGCUUCUGUUUUUUCGACGAAGAAUAUUUGUGGGAUAUUUCUUCAAACUUAUGAUUAAAAUUUUAGAAUAAUUUUCUGGCAAAUCUAGAAAAUCUGUAGAAUCAAAUUUAAAUCUUAUUUCAAAGUCUUUUGAAUUUCUUUUAAAAAACAAAUUCUGGAAAAUCUAGAAGAAAUAAUGAUUUGUCUUUGUUAGAAAUAUAGCUUGGUCCAAUGUGUUAUAUAUUCUAACAAAGUGCAGACUGGAUUUUAACCUAUUUAAAACAUGUCAUCAAAAUUCUAAAAUUAAUCUUAAUCAGGGAAAAUGACUAAUGAUGUUCCAUAAAUUCUUUUUUUAAUUUUUUCAAAAAGAUUCGAAUUAUCUAGUUUUUCUCUUCAUUUUUUUCGGUGGAGUUUUGAAUUUUAAAGAGUCGAAAUUGAAGAUAAACUAUGUUUCAAAAUUUUAUUUGGAUUUUUUUCCUGUUUUCUCUCAUUAUAAACCGUUCAAUUAAGUGUUUUUGUCAUCAUUUAUUCUCUACAAAAAACCUUCCGUAAAAGGAAAAAAAAUGUACGACGGAAAGACAGACAGAAAUACCCUUUUUUUUUUAUAUAUAUAUAUAUAUAUAUAUAUAGAUUUAUUUAUUAUAGGUAAAUUGAGCAAAUUGGCUAUUUCUGGCAAUUUAUUUAAGUGUGUAUCAAACUGGUAGCCUUUCGCAUUAAUCAGUACCCAAAAAGUAGCUUUUGGUUUCAAAAAGGUUGGUGACCCCUGUUCUAGUCUGUUCCACACCUCGCAUUUAGUAGGAUGCUAGCUUUAGCCAGGCUAGCUGCGGGUAACAAACAAGGAAAAAGCAUGUUGUCCGUCACGGAAAUUGCUCGAGACAUGACAGGACGCACGUGAAAGUCCCAAGAACCCUUAAUUGAAAACAAACAGUCGGCCGUCUUGGUUUCCGUCGGCCAUUUUUAGGGCAAAAACAGGGUUGGUACUUUAACGAACUCUUCCUGGGGACUUGUACCAAAUGAACCGAGGUUAAGAUGACCGAUACUAGAGAGAUGGGCCAUGAUAAAAUGCGAAAGAAUUUUGCCUACGCCUUAGGAUGUGGGCGUGGCAUGGCGCCAAACUUUGAUCCAAUGAUUUGCCACAAAACUUUCCACUUAGAAACGAUGAUAACUAUACCCUGAAAUGCCGGAUGGGUCGGUAUCUAGUUUGUUGUUUCUUUCACAUCACCGCAGGCACACGUCAGCCAUGUAAACAGAACCUACGUUCAGCAAAAAUGGUUACUGGCCUCCCACAAUGCAUUGCAAAAUCACCUGCCCUUUCGAACCAUAUUAGGACCUUAUUGGAACUGCUUUGUUUAUUAUUAUUAUUUUGUUAUCACAUUUUUAAAUAAUUAAAACGCACAAAAACUCGCCAACUUUUGCAAAUAUCAAAAAUGACUCUCUCACGCCCCCCUUGGAAAGUAGAACAGAUGAGUCCCUGCUCGUGUCUUCACGGAAAAAAGUCCUAAAAAAACAUAUUUUGGAAAACAAAGUAGGCCAUCUUGGUUUCAGUCAGCCAUUUUUAGGCCAAAAACUAACUCCUUUGACCAAACUUUUAUCCGAGGAUUCGCCACAAAAUUUCAACUUUUAUAACUCGGCUCCACAAAUUCCGAUCUAGGUCAAAUUUUGUCAAAACGAUAAUAACGACACCCCAAAGUGCCGGAAGGGUCGGUAUCUAUUGGUAACCAUUCGUGGGGGGCGGAGCCUGGUGGCGAAAACCAUCAAAUGGUCACAAACUUCACGUUAGAUGAUCGGAUCUCACCCGGAAGUGAUAUUCAAAACGUUAAUGUGUAUUGUUUUGAUGUUAGCAUUUAAGCUAGCUCCCGAUUAUCGUGCUAGCUUAUUUUCUACGAAAUGAGCAGCAUCACUGUGAGUUUAUCAAAGUUUGGUAAUCAAUCACGGAUGAUACUAAUUGUUGUGAGUUUUACUGCAGUUUAUCAUGAAUACUGUUAGCGUUAAAUACCUCGUCAGAGCUUUAGGGACCAAUUUAGGUUUUAUUUUAUAAGUUCUUAUUGUAAGAAACAUAACGGUGGAUAAUUGGGAUACAUGGGAUUCAAGGGUGUUAAAAAGAAAUACAAUGUACACACAAGUGAACUGAAAACCUUAACCAGAUCCGAAUCGUUGGUGAACCGUUCCACCCCUAACCUAUACCUUUCAUUAUAAGUCCGUCAUCUUGGUUUCUGUCGGCCAUUUUUAGGCCAAAAAGAAACUCCUUUGACCAAACUUUGAUCCGGUGAUUUGCCACAAAACAUUCAACUUUUAGAACCUGGCUCCACAAACUUGGAUCUUGGUCAUAAUUGGUAAAAACGAUGAUAACAACACCCCGAAGUGCCCGGAUGGGUCGGUAUCUAUUGGUACUCAUUCGUAGGGGGCGGAGCCAGGCGGGGAAAACCAUCAAAUGGUCACAACUUCACGUUAGAUGGCCGGAUCUCCCCCCGGAAGUGAUCCGCGACUCGACAACGAGACGUUGCUAUCGAGACUAAAAUUGCCCCCUUGUGGUGGGAACUUAUAACCAUUGCAACUUCCUUCCUUAUGCUCUGAUCUUCCUGAAUUUUUUUUGCCGGUGGCUGAGAGGGCCAGUUUUAAUCGUUUUUAGAGCUUCAAGGGACGCGUGUCCUUCACGUUGUGAAUAUGAAUUUCCACCGCGUCAGCAGUUGUCGCGGGCUGUGAAGUGGGAACAUGUGCUUUUCUCCCGAGCAAGGGCUUUUAAUUUUCCAAGGAGCGGAGCACACAAGGGCUUUCUGUGGCGAGGGUGGAGGCGGGGAGAGGAGGGAGCGAGCGUCUUUAAGGCGGGACUGGGAAACUCUGCCACGUUGGCUCCAGCUGAGCCUGGAGGAGAUCUUUGCCUCCGACUUUGAAGAGAUUAGACGACUUCUCUAAGUAGUUAGACGUGUAAGAUAGCCAUCAUCGGUGCGAAACACUACUGAAAAUAUCCCCCAGUGUGGAGCAGCACCCUGAACGCCACACUGCUCCCGGCGGCCGUCCAUCUUGCACAGCUUGGACUGGAUAUAACUGUGUUGUUAUGAGUGACGUAUAUAUUCCAAAGGGAGGACCACCUAUUUAUUCCUGCGUAGACCCGGGGUGGUCGUCCGUCUGUAUUUAUCUGCUGUUUGACUCACAUGUGCAGCCUCUCUGGCAGGGAGGAGAACAUCCAUCCGUCGGCGUGCAAGCCGGAAGAAGCUUUCUGUACUUUCCAGGACUCACCCAUCACGUCUGGCAACCCAGCUCGCCUCUCCUCACCUGUACACAGAGUGCCUGCCUUGUCCUGCCUUCAGAGAGAUCCCAGAUCAGCCCAGGGACUUUUUUUGCCCCCAGUCCUCUUUGUGGCCCUCCAAGGUGGGACUCACUUUUACCACAUCUCACUUCUUCUGCCCUCUUUUCUACAAACGUCCACGCAACAGUGCUGGGACGUUGUGUCUUCUGUGUCGCUCACGUGUCACCCGGGUCGGUUGGGGGCCGGCAGAGGGGCAUCGUCUCCAAGGUACCCUCAUGACCGCCGCUCUUUAACUGACACACACACGCACACACACACUUGUAGACUGUUGCCGAUCAUUCUGUGCGUGUGUGCGUGGCUCAUGAUAGCGUGGCCAUCAGCUGCUUGCUCCUUGCUGCCAUACAACUUUACAGCCUUGAGUGUUUGCCGAUACUGAUAUUGAUCCCCAACGAUACCAGCAGGAAUCAUUCAUGCUUGUAUUAUUUUGUAAUGUAGACUAUGAAUUUAUUUGUUUAUAAUACAAAAUGUUUUUUUUUUCACUGAAUAUUUUGCAUUAAAAUAUUUUCUAAGGAAUGAUGUACCAUAUUAAACCACACCCACAACGUUUUUGAGAAAAAAAAAUAGUUUCCAUAUAUUAGCCGCACCAGACUAUAAGUCACAGAUAUACACGUUGUGAGAUUAGUUAUUUACACAGAAAUAUUCUGAAAAUGUUUAUUUGCAUACCUUAAUUAUUUCCAAAUGGUGGCAGUAAAACGGCUGAUCAUACAAAACACAAUCAGCUAAACAGGCUCAAUUACUCCUUGGUGACGUUUUGGUUUGAUUGAUUGAUUGAUACUUUUAUUAGUAGAUUGCACAGUUCAGUACAUAUUCCGUCCAAUUGACCACUAAAUGGUAACACCCAAAUAAGUUUUUCAACUUGUUUAAGUCAGGGUCCACGUUAAUCAAUUCAUGGUAAAUUUACAAAAGUGAAACAGGCACAAAAAGAAUGUCAUUGUAAGUAAAUAAUACUAACACAGACACGCAUGUUAGCAUAUUAGCUAAUGAUAAUGACGCUAGCUUCAUUACAUUACGAUAACUUGUACAAAUAUGCAUGAAAACACUCCUACAGACAUCACACACGGGACGCUUUAGUAAGUAAGAUUUUUUUUAGAUAUAUUGUAAAACUUACCAAUGUUGCUUGGAGUAAUGAACGAAGAAUCCAUACAAGUAGAAAUGCUAUGGACGGCUAGAAGACGGACCGGCACUUCUACUUCCGGUUCAAAGCUUUCACUCUGCAGUGAGCGAACCCGUCCAAAAGAUGGCGCCGUAGCACAAACAAUAACACGCCAUUUAAUUGUCUUUGCAUGUUUUUUUUUAAUUUAUGGAGAAUCAUCCAUAAAUUAAAGCUGCAAGGUUUAAAGUCAAGGAAAAAUAUAGCGGCUUAUAGUUUGGGAUUUUGGUAAAUAUUAAUAUAGGCUACGAGGAGCUAUACUACAGCUAAGCACACACUAGCACACAAGCUAGACAUAGGUAAUAAUCAUUGAACAUUAAAACAUGACAUUUGUCAAUAUAAACAAGUAUCAAAUAAUUCAAGUUACAUGUUGCUUACACAUUUAGUCUCCAAAGCAGGAUUUGAAAGUAUCCAGUAACAAACGUGUCCGCAUGAUCCUAACUUCAUCAUUAUUGUGUCACCAAAAAACAAUUACCGCUUCACUUCAACUUAAAGACAGCAUAAGUCCAUUCCAGAGGUUAAUUAUAAAUAUGUUAGUGUUUUUUAUAACUACUUUUUUUCGCUGUUUGACUCAUUUCACCUGAUCAAACCUUUUCUAACAUUCCACACUACUCACUGAUACAUGUAUGUACAAUUCCUGCUGAUAUUGUAUCAAAUUUAUGUCUGUAUCGGCUCCAAUAUCGUAUCGGAAGUGAAAAUAAGUAUAGAAAUAUGAACUGAUAUAUUUCUGACAAUAACGUGUGUGUGUGUGUGUGUGUGUGUGUCUGUGUGUGCGUGUUUAAGAGGUUGUGUGUUUUGUAUUUGUUGAACACAUGUUUCUGUGCACGAGAGACUGCAGAUAAUGAAAGUAAAAACAUUGUUAAGUGUGCAGAUGCUGCUUUGUACCUCCCAGUCCUGUCAGUAGCCACACACACACACACACACACACACACACACACACACACACGCUCUUGUGGUUCUUACCUUCUUGAGACCUCCGAAAAAUG